rnacentral:rRNA from 1 species
AGCAGCCGCGGUAAUUCCAGCUCCAAUAGCGUAUAUUAAAGUUGUUGCAGUUAAAAAGCUCGUAGUUGAACUUCGGGGUUUACCCAUUGGUCAGGCUUAAUUGUCUGCACUGGUGAGAUGAAUCUCUACCUUCUGAGGAACUUUCAUGCCAUUUAUUUGGUGUGAUUGGAAAUCAGGACUGUUACUUUGAAAAAAUUAGAGUGUUUAAAGCAGGCUAACGUCUGAAUACAUUAGCAUGGAAUAAUGAAAUAGGACGGAUUGAUUCUAUUUCGUUGGUUUCUAGGAUCACCGUAAUGAUUAAUAGGGAUAGUUGGGGGCAUUAGUAUUCAAUUGUCAGAGGUGAAAUUCUUGGAUUUAUUGAAGACUAACUACUGCGAAAGCAUUUGCCAAGGAUGUUUUCAUUAAUCAAGAACGAAAGUUAGGGGAUCGAAGACGAUCAGAUACCGUCGUAGUCUUAACCAUAAACUAUGCCGACUAGGGAUCGGACGAAGUUAAUUUAUAAUGACGCGUUCGG